GAUGAACGCUAGCUACAGGCUUAACACAUGCAAGUCGAGGGGAAACGAUGAGAGAGCUUGCUCUCUUAGGCGUCGACCGGCGCACGGGUGAGUAACGCGUAUCCAACCUACCCAUUACAGGGGGAUAACCUUGCGAAAGUAAGACUAAUACCCCAUGGCAUUUUAUGGUGGCAUCAUUAUAGGAUUAAAGAUUUAUUGGUAAUGGAUGGGGAUGCGUCUGAUUAGCUUGUUGGCGGGGUAACGGCCCACCAAGGCAACGAUCAGUAGGGGUUCUGAGAGGAAGGUCCCCCACAUUGGAACUGAGACAAGGUCCAAACUCCUACGGGAGGAAGCAGUGAGGAAUAUUGGUCAAUGGGCGAGAGCUUGAACCAGCCAAGUAGCGUGCAGGAUGACGGCCCUAUGGGUUGUAAACUGCUUUUAUAGGGGAAUAAAGUGAGCUACGUGUAGUUUAUUGCAUGUACCCUAUGAAUAAGGACCGGCUAAUUCCGUG
rnacentral:rRNA from 1 species